rnacentral:rRNA from 1 species
CUUGCUAAGGCCGAUGGCGACCGGCGCACGGGUGAGUAACACGUAUCCAACCUGCCGUCUACUCUUGGACAGCCUUCUGAAAGGAAGAUUAAUACAAGAUGGCAUCAUGAGUCCGCAUGUUCACAUGAUUAAAGGUAUUCCGGUAGACGAUGGGGAUGCGUUCCAUUAGAUAGUAGGCGGGGUAACGGCCCACCUAGUCCUCGAUGGAUAGGGGUUCUGAGAGGAAGGUCCCCCACAUUGGAACUGAGACACGGUCCAAACUCCUACGGGAGGCAGCAGUGAGGAAUAUUGGUCAAUGGGCGAGAGCCUGAACCAGCCAAGUAGCGUGAAGGAUGGCUGCCCUAUGGGUUGUAAACUUCUUUUAUAAAGGAAUAAAGUCGGGUAUGCAUACCCGUUUGCAUGUACUUUAUGAAUAAGGAUCGGCUAACUCCGUGCCAGCAGCCGCGGUAAUACGGAGGAUCCGAGCGUUAUCCGGAUUUAUUGGGUUUAAAGGGAGCGUAGAUGGAUGUUUAAGUCAGUUGUGAAAGUUUGCGGCUCAACCGUAAAAUUGCAGUUGAUACUGGAUAUCUUGAGUGCAGUUGAGGCAGGCGGAAUUCGUGGUGUAGCGGUGAAAUGCUUAGAUAUCACGAAGAACUCCGAUUGCGAAGGCAGCCUGCUAAGCUGCAACUG